rnacentral:rRNA from 1 species
CCUACGGGUGGCAGCAGUGAGGAAUAUUGGUCAAUGGACGAGAGUCUGAACCAGCCAAGUAGCGUGAAGGAUGACGGCCCUAUGGGUUGUAAACUUCUUUUAUAGGGGAAUAAAAUGGUCCACGUGUGGGAUUUUGUAUGGACCAUAUGAAUAAGGAUCGGCUAACUCCGUGCCAGCAGCCGCGGUAAUACGGAGGAUCCGAGCGUUAUCCGGAUUUAUUGGGGUUAAAGGGAGCGUAGGGGGAUUGUUAAGUCAGUUGUGAAAGUUUGCGGCUCAACCGUAAAAUUGCCGUUGAAACUGGCAGUCUUGAGUACAGUAUAGGUGGGCGGAAUUCGUGGUGUAGCGGUGACCUGCUUAGCUAUCACGCAGAACUCCGAUUGC